GACGAACGCUGGCGGCGUGCUUAACACAUGCAAGUCGAACGAAGUGGCGAACGGGUGAGUAACGCGUAAUCAAGCUGCCCUUCAAACGGGGACAACAGUUGGAAACGACUGCUAAUAUCGCAUACUGAAGGUGGGGAUUGCGUCUGAUUAGCUAGUUGGAGGGGUACGGGCCAACCAAGGCGAUGAUCAGUAGCCGGUCUGAGAGGAUGAACGGCCAACUUGUGAAUGAGACACGGCCCAGACGUCUACGGGAGGCAGCCGUGGGGAAUCUUCCGCAAUGGACGAAAGUCUGACGGAGCAACGCCGCGUGAGUGAUGACGGCCUUCGGGUUGUAAAGCUCUGUUAAUCGGGACGCGGUACCGGAAUAGAAAGCCACGGCUAACUACGUGCCAGCAGCCGCGGUAAUUC
rnacentral:rRNA from 1 species